AACGAACGCUGGCGGCAUGCCUAACACAUGCAAGUCGAACGAGACCUUCGGGUCUAGUGGCGCACGGGUGCGUAACGCGUGGGAACCUGCCCUUAGGUUCGGAAUAACUCCCCGAAAGGGGUGCUAAUACCGGAUAAUGUCUUCGGACCAAAGAUUUAUCGCCUUUGGAUGGGCCCGCGUUGGAUUAGCUAGUUGGUAGGGUAAAAGCCUACCAAGGCGACGAUCCAUAGCUGGUCUGAGAGGAUGAUCAGCCACACUGGGACUGAGACACGGCCCAGACCCCGGCGGGGGGCAGCAGGGGGUAAUUUUGAACAGGGGGCAAAGGCUUGCCCCACCAACGCCCCGUGAGUGAUGAGGCCUUUGGGGUUUAAACGCUUUUUUCCCCGGGAUGAUAAUGACAUUCCGGGAAAAAUAAGCCCCGCCUACCCCCGUC
rnacentral:rRNA from 1 species